rnacentral:tRNA from 1 species
GGAGGGAUAGCUCAAGUGGUAGGGUGCGUGCUUAGCAUGCACAAGGUCCUGGGUUCAGUCCCCCGUACCUCCU